CCUACGGGAGGCAGCAGUGAGGAAUAUUGGACAAUGGGCGCAAGCCUGAUCCAGCCAUGCCGCGUGCAGGAUGAAGCAUCUAUGGUGUGUAAACUGCUUUUGUACGAGAAGAAACACUGCUUCGUGAAGCAGCUUGACGGUAUCGUAAGAAUAAGGAUCGGCUAACUCCGUGCCAGCAGCCGCGGUAAUACGGAGGAUCCAAGCGUUAUCCGGAAUCAUUGGGUUUAAAGGGUCCGUAGGCGGCCUUAUAAGUCAGUGGUGAAAUCUCACGGCUCAACUGUGAAAUGGCCAUUGAUACUGUAGGGCUUGAAUUAUUAGGAAGUAACUAGAAUAUGUAGUGUAGCGGUGAAAUGCUUAGAGAUUACAUGGAAUACCAAUUGCGAAGGCAGGUUACUACUAAUGGAUUGACGCUGAUGGACGAAAGCGUGGGUAGCGAACAGGAUUAGAUACCCUGGUAGUCCACGCCGUAAACGAUGGAUACUAGCUGUUGGGGGUCAACCUCAGUGGCUAAGCGAAAGUGAUAAGUAUCCCACCUGGGGAGUACGUUCGCAAGAUGAAACUCAAAGGAAUUGACGG
rnacentral:rRNA from 1 species